GGCGAACGCUGGCGGCGCGCUUAACACAUGCAAGUCGAACGGAAAGGCCCUGCUUUUGUGGGGUGCUCGAGUGGCGAACGGGUGAGUAACACGUGAGUAACCUGCCCUUGACUUUGGGAUAACUUCAGGAAACUGGGGCUAAUACCGGAUAGGAGCUCCUGCUGCAUGGUGGGGGUUGGAAAGUUUCGGCGGUUGGGGAUGGACUCGCGGCUUAUCAGCUUGUUGGUGGGGUAGUGGCUUACCAAGGCUUUGACGGGUAGCCGGCCUGAGAGGGUGACCGGCCACAUUGGGACUGAGAUACGGCCCAGACUCCUACGGGAGGCAGCAGUGGGGAAUAUUGCACAAUGGGCGGAAGCCUGAUGCAGCAACGCCGCGUGCGGGAUGACGGCCUUCGGGCUGUAAACCGCUUUCGCCUGUGACGAAGCGUGAGUGACGGUAAUGGGUAAAGAAGCACCGGCUAACUACGUG
rnacentral:rRNA from 1 species